CGACCGGAUGCGGAUCUCGAAAGCCUGUCCCAGUUCGGACUGGAGUCUGCAACCCGACUCCACGAAGUUGGAUUCGCUAGUAAUCGCGCAUCAGCCAUGGCGCGGUGAAUACGUUCCCGGGCCUUGUACACACCGCCCGUCACACCAUGGGAGUUGGCAAUACCCAACGUACGUGAUCUAACCCGCAAGGGAGGAAGCGUCCUAAGGUAGGGUCAGCGAUUGGGGUGAAGUCGUAACAAGGUACC
rnacentral:rRNA from 1 species